GACGAACGCUGGCGGCGUGCCUAAUACAUGCAAGUCGAACGCAGUGGGGACGGGUGAGUAACACGUGGGUAACCUCCCAUCAGAGGGGAUAACACUUGGAAACUGGUGCUAAACCGAUACUGAUGGAUGGACCCGCGGUGCAUUAGCUAGUGGGUGAGGGAACGGCUCACCAAGGCAACGAUGCAUAGCCGACCUGAGAGGUUGAUCGGCCACACUAGGACUGAGCCACGGCCCAGACUCCGACGGGAGGCAGCAGUAGAGAAUCUUCGGCAAUGGACGAAAGUCUGACCGAGCAACGCCGCGUGGGUGAUAAGGGUCUUCGGAUCGUAAAACUCUGUUAUUAGGGAAGCGGUACCUAUUCAGAAAGCCACGGCUAACUACGUGCCAGCAGCCGCGGUAAUAC
rnacentral:rRNA from 1 species